rnacentral:rRNA from 1 species
AGAACGAACGCUGGCGGCAUGCCUAAUACAUGCAAGUCGAACGAAGGCUUCGGCCUUAGUGGCGCACGGGUGCGUAACGCGUGGGAAUCUGCCCCUUGGUUCGGAAUAACAGUUGGAAACGACUGCUAAUACCGGAUGAUGACGAAAGUCCAAAGAUUUAUCGCCAAGGGAUGAGCCCGCGUAGGAUUAGCUAGUUGGUGAGGUAAAGGCUCACCAAGGCGACGAUCCUUAGCUGGUCUGAGAGGAUGAUCAGCCACACUGGGACUGAGACACGGCCCAGACUCCUACGGGAGCAGCAGUA